GACGAACGCUGGCGGCGUGCUUAACACAUGCAAGUCGAACGAAGUGGCGAACGGGUGAGUAACGCGUAAUCAACCUGCCCUUCAGAGGGGGCCAACAGUUGGAAACGACUGCUAAUACCGCAUACUGAAGGAGGGGAUUGCGUCUGAUUAGCUCGUUGGAGGGGUAACGGCCAACCACGGCGAUGAACAGUAGCCGGUCGGAGAGGAAUAACGGCCAAAUUGGGACUGAUAAACGGCCCAGAGUCCUAUGGGAGGCAGCAGUGGGGAGUCUUCCGCAAUGGAGGAAAGUCUGACGGCGAAACGUGGCGUGAGUGAGGACGGCCUGCGGGUUUUAAAGCUAUGUUAAUCGGGACGCGGUACCGGCAUGGAGAGCCACGGCUAACUACGUGCCAGCGGCCGCGGGAAUUC
rnacentral:rRNA from 1 species